GAAAUCCAUGCUUCCAUCGGGGGCUCCUUCUCCCCGGAUCUGGUCGCAGCCCCCAAUCUCAACCAGCGACGCCAGCCACCACCACCCCUCUGUCGUCGUUCCUCGCCGGCCACGACGAGGUCCUCCCUCCGGCAUCGUGGAUCUAGGUCCCCUUCUAACCCAUAGAUGGAUCCCAUCUACCUCAUCCACACCUGCACGCCCGAUCUAGGAUCUCCGGUGCUCUUCCUCUCCUCAAGGGGCGUGGCGGCCGCCCUUUCCCUGCGGGUCGAGCGGGAAUACAACAUUCCCUCUUCUUCACCGUGCCAACGACCGCCACGACCUUGGUGCAUGGAGACGCGCCGCUGGCCGCCGCAACGUGGUGCGCAAUAAGAUGCGCCGCUCGGAAGCGGCCAUAGCUAGUGCACACGGAGAUGCGCGAGCCCCUGUUUGGAGGGACUGCCCAAGAGCGCGGCUACAGCGAGCGAGCGCCUUGGCAGCAUCGGCCCUCCCGCUGCCAUACUCCCCCCAUCUGACUUGCAUCUGCCGGCGACCGGAGGGUACGACAACGGUGUGGACGCCCUCGGCAAUGGGAAUGCUGCACGGGAAAAGUGGCGAAGGGGAGAAAAGGACCGCCUCCUCUGCUGCAGGUCACCGGAGCUCAUCCUCUGCAGGUCACGGGAGGUGCGGUGGCGCCAUUACUUCACUGCCCGUCAUAGCGACUUCUCUCCACAGGGGAGUUGAAUUUGAGUGGUCUUGGUGUGCCCAAUGUACUCCCUGCAGAUGGGGAGACAAGUGAUGUGGUGAAACUUGAUCUUUCGAAGAACUUGAUAGAAGAUCUGCCAAAUGAGUUGUCCCUGUGCUCAUCACUUCAAGCACUGCGGUUGUGAUUGUUAUGCUGGGAGCGAUGUUCCUCAUGGUCCCAGUAAUGCUGCUAGUACGGAAGAGGCACUAGAUCCUUGUUGUCACAUUCCUUGAGCUCUCGUUGAUGGAGGAUAAAUGGAACAAGUGAUCAUCUAGUGGAGACAAAGAGUAUGUUGCUGUCCAUCACAAUCCGCCAAGACAUAUAGUUGCCAUCAGGAAGGGUUGACGACAAGAACACGAGUGACAACCUUAGUAGUUUAUAUGUGUUGUUGAUGUAAAUUGGAUUGUACCGGUUCCUAAUCCUUGUUGUGUGAUAUAUGUUGUCAAUAUAUGUUGUAUAUUAUCAUUUCAUGGAGGAUAUUCUAAACUGCUAGGUUUUAGAUACCUAUGGAUGGUAGCACAUUAAGUGAUUUUUUCAAUAUAUGUUGUAGAUACCUAUGGAUGGUUGCAUAUUGAGUGAUUUGGUCCAAAAUUGGCAUUAUG